UUUAGACUCUUUUGUCAGCAGGUGCACUGCUCUGACACCCCCACCCCCUCACCCCCCACAACACACACCUGACAAACUGCCUCAUCAUUUGCAUGCCCUGGAUCCACUCCCACCCAGCAGGCAAGGGAGUCAGUUGAGUCGCUAAUGCUCAACAUGAAAUGGAAAGCAGAAGAAGAAAAGCUAGAGGUCAUGGCUGUGAGGCACCCCAGCCCUGUAGGACCUCCCGGGUGAAGUUACAAUGGUAACUUGGCCUAGGUACUGCUGACCUCCUGAAGACUCACAGUCUGUGGAACCCAGGGAACCAGGAAGAACGUCCUGAGAGGACACCUGGCUGGUACCAGAGGUUGGGUGCCUCUCCAUAUGCUGGCAGACCUUUA